GUAAAACUAUUAGAUCUCUGGUUUUAAAAAUACUUGUACCUGCUUGUACUGGUCUAAGAUGGCUCAACAAACAAGUGGAGCUUCAUUCAAAUACCAUGAGUUGGAUGAGCAAGAUGAAACCAUGGCUCAAAAACCACUCCCCACUGGACAGGUGGUCCCCGACACUGUCUAUCAAAUGCCCUACCAAAUCCCUCAAAUGUAUCAGCAGGUUGAGGCUGAAGUGGGCAAGCCCACUUACCCUGGACCCAGUGAUUACCUCAUCCUUAGCCUCGAAUCCACGCCGAUUAAAAUACGGCCUGGUGUUCAUUGCAGGGGUGUUAGUGCACACGCGCUGCACAAUUACCCAGAAUCUGGGUAAUCGUGCACGCCAGUAAAACUUUUAGUAAAUGUUACCGUAAACUAGCUGUAAUACUUGGAAUUUGUUCCGUGUUACUAUCAAUGGCGUCGACUGAGUUUUGUGAAGCUGUGGCUUAUGCUCUUCGUUGCGUUGGUCUAAAGGAUCUCACACUGAAGCCAAAGCAAAGGAGGCUCUCAUCCACCUGUAUGACGAUCAUGAUGUCUUUGUUUGGUUCCCCACGGGCUAUGGUAAGUCUUUGUGCUUCCAACUGCUCACUGAAGCGGACAAGCUCUAGCUCUACAAGAGUUGAGAGAAGAGCUGUGCUGGUGGUGUCACCACUAGUGUCUCUGAUAAUAGACCCGGUCUCAGGCCUCCGGAAGAGGGGUGUCUCUGCUGCUAUAUUGUCUGGCAACAAAGAUGUCGAGAAGGACCUCCUUGCUAGUGUGAGUGACGUGUCCGAGGGUCGGUUCUCUCUCCUCUAUAGUGCUCCCGAGGCACUCUCCUUGGCAGAGAAGCAUAGAAGCAGCUCCUGGUCCAACGUCCCCUCUGUGACUCUGUAGUGGCAGUCGCUGUUGACGAAGCACACUGUGCGUAUAAGUGGUACAGAGAUCUACCAUUGGGUUGCUGAGUACUGGCAGUCUCAACAGAAGUUGCUUGAGUAUAACGUUGCUCCGAUCCCUCAGCGGCACGUCUCGUUCACAUGGAGCAGUGACUAACAAAAUUAAUCCUCAGCAACCCCAGUAAUUUUUGAAACUCAUCUUACUCUUGUUUUUAUAUUACUCUUGUCCUGGACGGGGAAACAGAGUCGCCUUCCAGCGGUUCCAACGGUCUGAUGCUUAGCUAAUGGUGGUCUUGCUACGUGUGUGUGUGUGUGGAGAAACCCCUACCCCACUAGUGUCUUUGGAUAUCUUUCUCGACGGAGCCUAGUACUCGUUGGGCUGCCAGUGACACUUGUGAGAGGCCUGGGUAGCCAUCUCUAGCUCUCUGUUGUUUUAAUGUGCAAACCAUGCGGUAUAACGUAUUCUCAUUCUCCGUUUUAUUAUCAACAAUAAAUUUCGCGCAUGUGCACUAACACCCCUGCAAUGAACACCAGGCCGUAUUUUAAUCGGCGUGGAUUCGAGGUUACCUCAUCCUCAAUCUGGUUACCAUGAUCAUGUGUGGGGCACUCAACAUCACCUCUCUGUUGAUUGGCAUUCCAGGACUUUUGUUUUCAGUCUUGUUAACAAGAACUACCACAAAGCCAAGAGGUACUCCAACUAUACGCCCUGGGGCUAGCCAUAGCCAACAUCAUGUACACUUUCCUGUUGUACAUCAUUCUGAUCGGAGUUGGCAUAGGAGUAAGCAAAAUUACUCUCCAUGGCUACGGUUGCAACUUUUGCCGCUACUUACCCAAAGAGCAUGGAAACUGAACACUUACAAGGAAUGUAAUUAUGCCUUGCAUGCAUGCAUGCUGAUCGACACAAAUAUACACUUAUAUAUAAUUAUAGUGAUAAUCCCUGUAUAGUCAUCCAAUGUUGUUUAUAGUACGUUGUGUAUUCAUGAUUUUCAUUAACACUGUAAGUUCGAUGUCAAUGUAUUCUCAUGAGUCACUGUGUAUAUUUUUUAUUAUUAUGAAAUGGGAUAG